CAGUAGCCGCGGGAAUACGUAGGUCCCGAGCGUUGUCCGGACUUAUUGGGCGUAAAGGGAGCGCAGGCGGUUUAGUAAGUCUGAAGUUAAAGGCAUUGGCUCAACCAAUGUAUGCUUUGGAAACUGUUAGACUUGAGUGCAGAAGGGGAGAGUGGAAUUCCAUGUGUAGCGGUGAAAUGCGUAGAUAUAUGGAGGAACACCGGUGGCGAAAGCGGCUCUCUGGUCUGUCACUGACGCUGAGGCUCGAAAGCGUGGGUAGCGAACAGGAUUAGAUACCCCCGUAGUCCCUGUCUCUUAUACA
rnacentral:rRNA from 1 species